rnacentral:rRNA from 1 species
AUUGAACGCUGGCGGCAGGCCUAACACAUGCAAGUCGAGCGGAUGAAGGGAGCUUGCUCCUGGAUUCAGCGGCGGACGGGUGAGUAAUGCCUAGGAAUCUGCCUGGUAGUGGGGGAUAACGUCCGGAAACGGGCGCUAAUACCGCAUACGUCCUGCGGGAGAAAGAGGGGGAUCUUCGGACCUCACGCUAUCAGAGGAGCCUAGGUCGGAUUAGCUAGUUGGUGGGGUAAAGGGCUACCAAGUCGACGAUCCGUAACUGGACUGAGAGGAUGAUAAGUCGCAUUGGAACUGGGACACGGUCCAUGGUACUGCGAGAGGCAGCAGUGGGGAAUGUUGGGCAGUGGGCGAAAGCCUGGUCCAGCCAUGCCGCGCGUGUGAAGAAGGUCUUCGGAGUGUAAAGCACUUUUAGUUGGGAGGAAGGGCAGUAGGCUGAUACCUUGCUUUUUUGACGUUACCGAGAGAAUAAGCACCGGCUAACUUCGUG